CUACGGGUUGCACCAGUAGGGAAUCUUAGACAAUGGGGGAAACCCUGAUCUAGCCAUGCCGCGUGAGUGAUGAAGGCCUUAGGGUUGUAAAGCUUUUUCGCUGGGGAAGAUAAUGACGGUACCCAGUAAAGAAACCCCGGCUAACUCCGUGCCAGCAGCCGCGGUAAUACGGAGGGGGUUAGCGUUGUUCGGAAUUACUGGGCGUAAAGCGCGCGUAGGCGGGCCAUUAAGUCAGGGGUGAAAUCCCGGGGCUCAACCCCGGAACUGCCUUUGAUACUGGUAGUCUUGAGUUCGAGAGAGGUGAGUGGAAUUCCGAGUGUAGAGGUGAAAUUCGUAGAUAUUCGGAGGAACAUCAGUGGCGAAGGCGACUCACUGGCUCGAUACUGACGCUGAGGUGCGAAAGUGUGGGGAGCAAACAGGAUUAGAUACCCUCGUAGUC
rnacentral:rRNA from 1 species